UCCAGCACUGUGGCUCCGGGGAAACAGUGAGGAGACGCGGGAGCAGGUGAAGCGCUGACAGGUGUACUCGCGGCGGAGCGUACCUGCGCGACGGCGGCCGCCUCACCUUGUUGCCGGUGGCUCGUUUGCGAUGGCGAGGCGCGGGCUCUGCCGGAGUGAAAGCGGACGGCCUCCUUCAGGAUCCGACGUCGGGAGGAAGAUGUUGAUGCCGCGGGGCGGGAGGACGCGGGAAGCUCCAGCCGGCGCCGCUCGUCAGAUCCGGAUGAGAGCGGGGAACUCGAUGACGGAGCCCAGGUCAGGUGGAGUCCGCGCCGCUGUGGCCGAUGCAAAAGGAGCCGGAGAAUCCGUAGCCAGACUUGCAAAGCGGUUAGAGAGACUCAGCAUUGGAUGCUUUUGAGUCUCGUCUAAACUCCUUCUGGGCCUUCGGACAACCACUUCUUCAUCUAUGGAGUUAUGUUUGGGAGUGGAAAAUGAUGAAGGCCGUGGACAGGUGGAAGGAUCCCAUGGGGCUGUGUCCUGGAGUGCGGCGUUGAGUGAGCACCCAUCUCCAACCACCAGAGGGAGCCCUCGCCAGAGUUCUGACUCCUCAUGCUCCUCACUACAACUCCCAUCAGCCACUGCCAUGGACUCCUUCCUGCUCAGCUGUGCAUCAUCAUAAUCAAGGUCACACAGCAUAUAAACCCACUCCAGCCUCCUCUCCAGUACGAAGUCUUGUAUUACUUACACUCUGAGCAGUUUUCCCCUUUGCCUGUUUCUCUGUGCCUUGACCCUUGCCUCCUUAUUGACGUUCUGCCUUGCUUUUGUGUUUUGACCCCUGCCUGGAUUCUGAAUACGCUCAUGUCUUGCCCUUGCUCAAUAAAACAUUUGCACAUG